rnacentral:lncRNA from 1 species
CUGCUUGCCUUUUUUUUUUUUUUUUUUUUUUUUUUUUUACAGGCUGCCUCUUCUUAAACUUUCUGGUGGGAAUGAGGCAAACAGAUGAAAGAGAAGCAAUAAAAAUGUGUGAAUUUAAAUCUGAAAAACUGAGUGUUUUGUCCUUCAGAGCAGUAUAAGAUAUCCUGAGGGAUAGUCUUUCUACAAUGCCACGGAUGAAGAAAAUUUCAAGGCAACAUUGGAGGGUUCAUCCAGUGAGUUCCAUAGUCAAAUCCAACCCACAGCCCUACAGGAAGAGACCAGCUAAAAUCUGCUCUAAUGCCUUAACACUGAAGAGAGAAGAAUGCUUGGACUUUAGUGGCUUUACAUUUGCUGAACUGUGGUUGCUACAACUGUACACUUACAAAUAGCAUUGAAAAUGAAAGUACUGUGAAAUGCACUAGGGAAUACUUUGAGUUCAAAACGCAGUCCUUCUGUCCUCGUUUGUUGCAGUAGCCCUAUCUCCUUUUAGUAUUCAUGCUGUAGCACUCCCAAUGGACAAACUCUUCCAUUUGUCUGUUUGUCCACAGAACUGAAGCACAGAAUGGCCAGAUUUAACCUUCUUGAUCAGUGGAUCUCCUUCUGUACGGGACCUGGACUCCUCAACAGGACAAAUUGGUCUUUUUUAUGUGUCAGGGUGGUUAGGCUGCACGUUCCCGGUUAUUUAAUCAAACGCUAUUCUACGUGGUUUUGUGAAAGUAUUUCAUAGUCAUGAUUCCAGUUCAUAAAUAGUUAAUUCCAAGUAAGAGAGAUUAUCCCAGAUAAUCUGGUAGGUCUGAUUCAAUCGCUAGAAAGGCUUUAAAAGUACAGCUGAGGUUUUUCCAAGGAAGAGGAAAUUGCCUGUGAAUGUAGAUGCAGACUGUGCCCCAGGGUUCUAGCCUGCCUUUCCUGAAAGUCUGCCCUUCAGAUUUCUCACGUUUAGACUUUCCUAACAAACGCCCACAAUCACACAAGUGAUUCAUUACCUACAAACCCUGUCUUUGUCUCUUUUUCUCCUUUUUCCUCCCUCCCUCUCUGUCUCACAAACAGACACUGGGUUUCUUUCUCCUACUCGUUCUGUUUCUCUGAAUCCUGACUAAGUCAGGCAAGGUCUCUUCCUGUCUUUAAAUUGCCUAUUGCCUGGUACAUUCUGGUACAGUGUUUUUUUGUUUGUUUAUUUUAUUUUUUUUAAUUUUUAUUUUUUUGUCUUUUAGGGCUGCGUCUGCAGCGNUUUUUUUGUCUUUUAGGGCUGCAUCUGCAGCAUAUGGAGGGGCCCAGGCUAGGGGUCAAAUCAGAGCUGUAAUCCCUGGUCUACACCACGGCCACAGCAACACCAGAUCCGAGUCGCAUCUGCGACAUACACCACAGCUCAUGGCAAUGCUGGAUCCUUAA